UUUAUGGAGAGUUUGAUCCUGGCUCAGGAUGAACGCUGGCGGCGUGCCUAAUACAUGCAAGUCGAGCGAACGGACGAGAAGCUUGCUUCUCUGAUGUUAGCGGCGGACGGGUGAGUAACACGUGGAUAACCUACCUAUAAGACUGGGAUAACUUCGGGAAACCGGAGCUAAUACCGGAUAAUAUUUUGAACCGCAUGGUUCAAAAGUGAAAGACGGUCUUGCUGUCACUUAUAGAUGGAUCCGCGCUGCAUUAGCUAGUUGGUAAGGUAACGGCUUACCAAGGCAACGAUGCAUAGCCGACCUGAGAGGGUGAUCGGCCACACUGGAACUGAGACACGGUCCAGACUCCUACGGGAGGCAGCAGUAGGGAAUCUUCCGCAAUGGGCGAAAGCCUGACGGAGCAACGCCGCGUGAGUGAUGAAGGUCUUCGGAUCGUAAAACUCUGUUAUUAGGGAAGAACAUAUGUGUAAGUAACUGUGCACAUCUUGACGGUACCUAAUCAGAAAGCCACGGCUAACUACGUGCCAGCAGCCGCGGUAAUACGUAGGUGGCAAGCGUUAUCCGGAAUUAUUGGGCGUAAAGCGCGCGUAGGCGGUUUUUUAAGUCUGAUGUGAAAGCCCACGGCUCAACCGUGGAGGGUCAUUGGAAACUGGAAAACUUGAGUGCAGAAGAGGAAAGUGGAAUUCCAUGUGUAGCGGUGAAAUGCGCAGAGAUAUGGAGGAACACCAGUGGCGAAGGCGACUUUCUGGUCUGUAACUGACGCUGAUGUGCGAAAGCGUGGGGAUCAAACAGGAUUAGAUA
rnacentral:rRNA from 1 species